rnacentral:lncRNA from 1 species
AUGUGGGGACAUGUCACACCAUCCCAUGCCCCUGGGACACACCGUCACACCAUGUGGGGACAUGUCACACCAUCCCAUGCCCCUGGGACACACCGUCCCACCGUGUGGGGACAUGUCACACCAUCCCACACCCCUGGGACACACCUUCACACCAUGUGGGGACAUGUCACACCAUCCCAUGCCCCUGGGACACACCGUCCCACCGUGUGGGGACAUGUCACACCAUCCUGUGCCCCUGGGACACACCUUCACACCAUGUGGGGACAUGUCACACUGUCCCAUACCCCUGGGACACACCGUCCCACCGUGUGGGGACAUGUCACGCCAUCCCACACCCCUGGGACACACCUUCACACCAUGUGGGGACAUGUCACACCAUCCCAUGCCCCUGGGACACACCGUCACACNGGACAUGUCACGCCAUCCCACACCCCUGGGACACACCUUCACACCAUGUGGGGACAUGUCACACCAUCCCAUGCCCCUGGGACACACCGUCACACUGUGUGGGGACAUGUCACACCAUCCCACACCCCUGGGACACACCUUCACGCCAUGUGGGGACAUGUCACACCGUCCUGCAUCCCUAGGACAUACUGUCACACCAUGUGGGGACAUGUGACACCAUCCCGCACCCCUGGGGCACACUGUCACACCAUGUGGGGACAAGUCACACUGUUCCAUGCCCCUGAGGCACACUGUCACACUGUGGAGACAUGUCACCAUCCCAUGCCCCGGGACACACUGUCAUACCGUGUGGGGACAUGUCACACUGUCCCAUGCCCUAGAGGCACAUUGUCACACCAUGUGGGCCCUGUGGACAUGUCACACCAUUCACCCCUGAGACACACUGUCACACCACCCUGUCCCCCGGGCACACUGUCCCCCAGGGACGCUGACACAACAAUACAAGCAAGAGUGCACGUUUUAUAUUUUUUGGCCAUGACCUUUCGAGGCCGGUACAGAAGAGGUGGCAUCUUCUCGCCUCCCGGGCGCUCCUGGCAGCUGGUCUCUGCAAGGGUAGUAUGGGUGGUGUGGGCACGUCUGACCGCGCUGUUCAGGUUCAGCUUCCAGCCUGUAUUUCUUUUUUUUUGGCUUAUCAAUAGCGUUUCCCACUGCCUGGCUCCAGCUGCCAUGGGAGCAGCCCAGCGUGUGCUUCAGCUUCACCAUCUUCUUCACUGUGGGGUCAGCUGUCCUCCAAAUUCUGCCGGGGUCUGGAGAGGAGAAAAUAACAGUGUUUUAGGGUACGUUUGUGUAUGA